rnacentral:piRNA from 1 species
UCUUUGCUUGCAGUGUCCAUGAAG